UCGCCAGCUCAUUCCCUGGUGAUGGCCAGCUGAUGCUGCCAGCUGUUUCUAUGGACUAUGUGGGGAACUCUUGGGAAAAGCCCGGCUUAAAUGCACGAUGUCAGUGCAGGUAGAUGUGAUUAAACUUGGAGUGUAGCACAGGCUGAAUUUCCUCUCUGGCUACAGGUAGCCUUGAUGCUCCUCUAAAACCCACAUCUGGUGAACUUGGUGAACUUGGGCUGAAGCUCAGGCUUUGGCUAACAUCAGUAGAGCUGCAUAAAUGGUGCUUAUACCAUUUACUUUGGUAGGUGAUAUAACUUUCUUACAGAGAUGUCACCCUGUCAUCUCCCCUCAGGCAGAACUAACUGGUUAAUUAUUUUGUCACACUUACAGCUUCAAAAUCACUUUCUUAGACAGUAACAUUCUUCCAUAGGGAGGUUUUGCAGUUGUGGUUUUAUUGGUCUAAAACUGUAGGUUAAGUUUAGCAAACCUCUUCUAAAGACAUCCAGAGCAGAAGAGAAGAGGGCACAUAUACAAACUUGGUUGUGCUGAAGAAAAAAAGCAGAUUUGUCAUCCUGAUGCUUAAUGCAUCAUAGUGUCACAGGGCUUGUUUGGAGUUUAUAGCUGGUCUACUGUUUGCCUCUAAAACAAGAAUCUUUAUUGAAGCUAGAUGUGAGAUUAAUUUCUGGUUUCCAUUUUACUGGGAAUGGUUUUCAGCUUCAGUCUUUUUCUAAAUUCUACCCUAUAGUAACUAAUUUCAUGUUUCGUUCCUUUAUGUUCGAAGUUCUGCUGUCAGAUGUAGGCAGCCCCAAUAACCCUCUGAAUCAGAGCCCUCCAGCUACUCUGUUAAUACAUUCACAAGGCCCUGGGGCAUUUACAGACCUUCACUGCUGUUUGCAUACUGGAAAGGAGAACUUACUACCGUAAUUGAAAUGAUGGAGGUUACGCAAGGAGCAAUAGCUUGGUGAGAGAAGGUUUGGAAGGCUAUUGACUAUCAGUUAAAAGAUUUGGGAAAAAAGUGGAUUUGAUGAAGACAGGAUUUUGAGAAACCAGGACUGGGACGGUGGUUCCUGCAUAGGUCUCAGCCUGAAAGAAGGCACUGGCAAAAAAGGUGAAGCAAGGAGAUUACUCAGAAGUACAGUGAAUGCACAGAUUAAGGUAUGGGGUGGGCAGGCUAGUGCAGAUUCUAGAUGAUAAGUUUCAGCAAGUACAGAAGAGAGAAAAAGGCAAAGGAAUAAUGGAAUAGCAACAGCAAGGAGGAAGAAAAACUGUAGCCUGUGUGUUUCAUCUUAAUUCAAAGACUGUAGAAGCCUGAAGUCAGUCAGACAUGGGGGAGAAAAAAACCCAAAACCCGUAACAAUUAGAAGAGAAAAUGAGCAAAAUUGAGUGAGGUCAGAGAAGCAAUAAUAAGCUGGAGUGAGGACUGCUCUAGGAGACCUCACACUGGGUAGGUGGCUCGAACAGAGCUCUUGGGAGGGUUCUAUACAGCCACUGUGCCUGGAGUCUGGAAAGAAUACAGGGGAUUGGGAAGAUCAAAGCUCAGAUUGAUGUUGUCUAAUUUCUACCAACAACUCUGCAUCCAGUGCUCCCAAUGUACUGGGUACAGGUCGCCAGACACUUGCACUGGAGUAACUUCCUAAACCUUCAGUCAUUUCCUGAAGUAAAGAGAGCCCAUUCGUGCAUGCAGCACAGGAAUGAAUGUGUUAAUACUACUGCAAGCAAAUAGAUCUUGUUAGGUAUUCUUUAGAUACCACAGAGUUCUGGAAAAAUCACUUAUAGCAGCAAUUACUUGGAGCAAAGCUGUUGCCGCAGUACACUUGAGUGAUUCAAAAUGAUGCAUUGUUUGCUUUUAUAGGAGAGAUUAAAAGGAUGGACUUCAAUGGUGAAACAAAGUGUUACAGUGGCAAUGAGGAAUCAUUUUAUCUGUUUUAUUUAAAACAACUUCAGUACUCACCAGAGGAGAACACAAUAGUUUUAUAAUGCCCUUGAUAGCUCUCUGAGUUUCCUUCUUGUACUUAAUUUUCUGAAUAACUUUCAGAAGUGAUUUCUUGCAUGGUUAAGGCUAGAAAAGUCUUCUGGCAGAAUUGAUAACUUUAUUGGUUCUAAAGGGGUGUUAUCAACUUAAAUCAGAGCACAGCAUUAAAAUCUUGCAACUACUCAGUGCUGGAUUGUGACUGUAGCUAUACUGGUUUGAAUUAAUAAACACUCAACAGAGUAAAAUAGAGAAAUGUUUGAUAAAGAUGUGCUGUGUCAUACAUUGUUCUGAAAAACUGGGUAAAAGCCUUGAUAGCGCUUCCCCAGCAGAAUGUUGAGUACACUUUAUGUUGCAAAUUUAGCUCUUUGCAGUUGGGUUCUUUCACAUAAUGUGCAGCCAACCUUUUAAGGGCCAAUCAAUGCUUCUCCCAACAAUGCUAAUGGAAAAUGUCAUUGAUUUUUAGUAGGAAAUUGUCUGUUAAUAGUGAAUACAAAUGUAUGUGUAUAAGCAUGUGGGGCGGUAUAUAGAGAAGAAAUAUAGUCUAGUCCCAAUGUACCUGAGUUCUUCUGCCUGUAGUACACUGGUCUAUUUGUGCACCAACCUUCAGAAUUGUUAGCAGCUGAAUGGGAAAAGAAGAAAGAAGAAAAUCUGUCAGGAUGCAUAAAGUAGCAGAAGUUUCUGCAUUUUCACUGCCUCUGGAAAAAAAACAGUAAAAAUUUAUAUUAUGUGUUUAGAUGGUAAAAACUAAUUUGUGAGGAAAAAAUAUGUAAUUUAUGAAAACAAAAACCCAAAACAAAACAAAAACCUCCAAAAAACAAAAAAAAAAAUUCCAAAACACCACAAGAUUAAAUCCUGGAAACAAGAAAUACAAGAAACUAAAUUAAUUAUCUGCUGUCUGAAGAGGAAUAUUGUUCAUGUGCAUCUUGGUUGUUGUAAUGUUUUCUUUUUUAAAAGUCAAAUAUCUGUUCAGUGUACUUUUCCCAGAAGAAAUUACAGGCUAUUUAUAACAGUCUCUUCACACUGGAUUGCAGAAAACGGACACAUACAUUCCUGCCUUUGAAAUUUGGGGAAAACCCCUGAUUUCUAGGUCAGUUUAAAAGAGGUGAAAGAGCAUUACAAUGACACAAGAAUUCAGUGCUCAGUGCAGCAUCACCACUUGAGAAACUGCCUUAGUAAGAGAUGGUCCCAUCCUUUUUGCCUUAAUCAGGGUGUUGUAAUAUGCUGCCUGGAAAUGGUGAUUUUGCAAAUUGUUGGACCAACUGGGAGCUGCAGCACAGUCCAAAAGACUUAUAUAAAAGCAGUCUAGGGAAUGAGAUUAGGGAAUGAGAAUGAUUUCGACUUAUUUACUUUUCUAUAGAGCCCUGAUAGAAAACAAAAGUGCAUUUCAGAAAGGAGAUCCUAAGGAAAAUGGGUGCACAGGGAGCACAUGGCUGUGAGCAGAGGUCAUGCAGAGUUGCACAGAAGUCCAAGUUUGAGUCUAAGGUAGUUUAAAUCCAUUUGCAAGCCAUGGGUAGACUGUAUCAAACCACUGGUGAUCCCAAAUGAGGUUGGCAUAUUCCCAUACACAGCACACUUGGACUUUUAGGGCAAAGAUUAAACAAAUUCCACAGAAAGGUCUCUUGUGAUGUGAUACACAGGGAAAAAAGUGUAUGUACCUCAAUGUAAUAUGCAAGAGACAGUCCUUUAAUUUAUUCCAACAUGGAACAUUAAGCCUGAUUUCUCCAUUUACUCAUGCAUUUUCUUGCAAAAUUUGUCAGAAUUUAAGAUUGUGGCAUGUGGAAACAUGGAAAGUAGUUGAUAGGUUAUUUCUGAGUUUAAAAAAACACAAGUAGUACUCUGUUUUUAGACUGUUAAGCGCAACCCAAGGCAAUGGAGCUGUGUGUUUUUUGAAGUGCAGCUUUGAAGUCCAGAACUGACUACAACAAAUUAGUCAUUAAAUUCAUGGGGUGAGUUUCUUGCAUGAUGUGACAAUCUCUUGUGAAGCCAUGUUGGAUUUGGGGAACAAAGAAUCUAAAAAAUUACUUUCUGUGCCACAAACUUUCUCUCUCAAAUGAUCACCAAUGUCUGGGAAAUUGUGACCUCUUUGAACUGGAAGUCCAUGUUAGAAAUUACCUAAAAUA
rnacentral:lncRNA from 1 species